AACGGCCAUAUCACGUUGAAACAUUGGUUUUCGUUCGAUCACCGAAGUUAAGCAGCGUCGAGUCUGGUCAGUACCUAGAUGGGUAACUACUUGAGAAUACCGGCUGC